UACGAAGGGGGCUAGCGUUGUUCGGAAUUACUGGGCGUAAAGCGCACGUAGGCGGACUAUUAAGUCAGGGGUGAAAUCUCGGGGCUUAACUCCGAAACUGCAUUCGAUACUGCCGUGCUUGAGGACUGGAGAGGAGACUGGAAUUUACGGUGUAGCGGUGAAAUGCGUAGAUAUCGUAAGGAAGACCAGUGGCGAAGGCGGGUCUCUGGGCAUUACCUGACGCUGAGGAGCGAAAGUGUGGGGAGCGAACAGG
rnacentral:rRNA from 1 species